UAGCUCAGCCGAUAGAGCAGUUGACUUUUAAUCAAGUGGUCGCAGGUUCGAGCCGAGCG
rnacentral:tRNA from 1 species